rnacentral:rRNA from 1 species
GACGAACCGUGCGACCGUUGUUCGGAUUCACUGGGCUUAAAGGGCGCGUAGGCGGCUCGCCAAGUCAGGGGUGAAAUCUUUCGGCUCAACCGGAAAAGUGCUUCUGAUACUGGCGGGCUGGAGGAGGGUAGGGGCGGAUGGAACUUCCGGUGGAGCGGUGAAAUGCGUAGAUAUUGGGAGGAACACCAGUGGCGAAGGCGGCUCACUGGACCGGAACUGACGCUGAGGCGCGAAAGCGUGGGGAGCGAACAGG